rnacentral:rRNA from 1 species
AACGAACGCUGGCGGCAGGCUUAACGCAUGCAAGUCGAACGCCCCGCAAGGGGAGCGGCAGACGGGUGAGUAACGCGUGGGAAUCUACCCAUCUCUACGGAAUAACGCAUGGAAACGUGUGCUAAUACCGUAUACGUCCUUCGGGAGAAAGAUUUAUCGGAGAUGGAUGAGCCCGCGUUGGAUUAGCUAGUUGGUGGGGUAAAGGCCUACCAAGGCGACGAUCCUUAGCUGGUCUGAGAGGAUGAUCAGCCACGCUGGGACUGAGACACGGCCCAGACUCCUACGGGAGGCAGCAGUGGGGAAUAUUGGACAAUGGGCGCAAGCCUGAUCCAGCCAUGCCGCGUGAGUGAUGAAGGCCCUAGGGUUGUAAAGCUCUUUCACCGGUGAAGAUAAUGACGGUAACCGGAGAAGAAGCCCCGGCUAACUUCGUGCCAGCAGCCGCCGUAAGAC